rnacentral:rRNA from 1 species
CACGUUAUUCGAGCGGCCGACGUCUGAUUAGCUAGUUGGUGGGGUAAUGGCCUACCAAGGCGACGAUCAGUAGCGGGUCUGAGAGGAUGAUCCGCCACACUGGAACUGAGACACGGUCCAGACUCCUACGGGAGGCAGCAGUGGGGAAUUUUGGACAAUGGGGGCAACCCUGAUCCAGCCAUUCCGCGUGAGUGAAGAAGGCCUUCGGGUUGUAAAGCUCUUUCAGCUGGAACGAAACGGUGCGCUCUAACAUAGCGUGCUAAUGACGGUACCAGCAGAAGAAGCACCGGCUAACUACGUGCCAGCAGCCGCGGUAAUACGUAGGGUGCGAGCGUUAAUCGGAAUUACUGGGCGUAAAGCGUGCGCAGGCGGAUUGUUAAGCAAGAUGUGAAAUCCCCGGGCUUAACCUGGGAAUGGCAUUUUGAACUGGCAGUCUAGAGUGCGUCAGAGGGGGGUGGAAUUCCACGUGUAGCAGUGAAAUGCGUAGAGAUGUGGAGGAACACCAAUGGCGAAGGCAGCCCCCUGGGAUGACACUGACGCUCAUGUACGAAAGCGUGGGUAGCAAACAGGAUUAGAU